rnacentral:rRNA from 1 species
CGGGAGCCUGUACAGGUGCUGCAUGGCUGUCGUCAGCUCGUGUCGUGAGAUGUCCGGUUAAGUCCGGUAACGAGCGCAACCCUUGUCGUAUGUUACAUGUGUCGUACGAGACUGGCUGGUAGUUAAAGCCGGAGGAAGGUGGGGAUGACGUCAAGUCAGCAUGGCCUUUAUAUCCUGGGCUACACACACGCUACAAUGGUCGGUACAAUAGGUUGCCAAGCCGCGAGGCGGAGCCAAUCCAUAAAAGCCGGCCUCAGUUCAGAUUGUAGGCUGCAACUCGCCUGCAUGAAGAUGGAGUUGCUAGUAACCGCAGGUCAGCAAUACUGCGGUGAAUACGCUCCCGGGUCUU